AAUCCUUGAUGUAAACAUUUCUACAGUUUGUUCUCCGAGCAGUUCUGGUUACCAGUGCAGAUGUGAGGAUCAGUAUCGUUGGUCAUGUGACCAGUGUUUACAGUAUACAUCCUGUGACAACAUCACUGGGGACACAUGUGGAUGCAUCAAUGCCAUUCCUCCUGAUGGACAAUACUGCCAGCCUUCUGGUCAAAACACCUUUACCCUUUGUCGUCUUACAACAACUCCAUCACCAACAACUCUUCCUUCAACAUCUCCAUCACCGACAACUCUUCCUUCAACAACUCCAUCACCAACAACUCUUCUUACAACAACUCCAUCACCAACAACUCUUCUUA